rnacentral:rRNA from 1 species
UACGUAGGGGCCAAGCGUUGUCCGGAUUUAUUGGCGUAAAGAGCUCGUAGGCGGUUUGGAUAGUCGGGUGUGAAAACUCCGAGCUCAACUCGGAGACGCCACCCGAUACUGCCAUGACUAGAGUCCGGUAGGGGGAGCAGGGAAUCCUGGUGUAGCGGUGAAAUGCGCAGAUAUCAGGAGGAACACCGGUGGCGAAGGCGCUGCUCUGGGCCGGUACUGACGCUGAGGAGCGAAAGCGUGGGUAGCAAACAGG